rnacentral:lncRNA from 1 species
ACACCUUAGUAUCUUGUUUGAUACAAAAUAUACGAGUUUUUAUGAAUCAAAAAAUUUGAAAAUAUUAUACAAAUUUGUAUAAUUAUACUAUAUUACCUUCUUAUCUCAUACUUAUAAGAGAAAAAAAAAAAAAAAACUUGACAAAAGAUAAACUUAAAUGAAUAUUAUUAAAAUAAAAAAGCAUACUAAAAAAUAUAUAAAAUUAUUACACCAACUUAUGAACUCAGUAAAACACUCUCAUCAUUUAUAAGGUUAUUAACUCC